GUAGGUAUAGGGUGAGAGAGUGCCAGAUGCGUCUCUUGCAGCCCAUCCUGUGGUUGUUCUCUCCGCUUCUAGGUUGCCCAUUUGAAUUUGUUUUGGAGAGAGAGAGAGAGAGAGAGAGAGAGAGGGAGAGAGAGAGAGAGAGAGAGAGAUGGAUAUACCAAAUGAUGCAUGUUCAAGGAGUACUAGAACAACAUUAUUGGAAUUGUAUAACAAUACUUGCCAUAAUUUUGGUAAGGAAUCAGUUGACAGUGUGGGGUUCAUGAAUUUGGAUUUGGAUUUGGCAUUCUCUAAUAUUAACCAAGGAGUGGAAAUUUUGAUUGGUUUGAUUGGUAUUUUGGGUAUGUUGUUUGCAUUCAACAUUCUAUAAUUAUGAGAGAAACCAAGAUCAUCGUAUUAUAUAUUUUAUUAACAUUCAACAUUUAUAAUUGUGCUUUUUCAAAAAAACAAAAUACAUUUAUAAUUGUGAACUAUCUUUGUGGGUUUAUCAAUUUAUUUUUUAUGGUUUUCAGUUUCCUAAAUGAAGUUUGACAUGUAUGGAAUUUGACAAUUUAUCUUCGUUUGCAUUCUUGCAUUUGAAUUUGUAAGUCAGUUUGUGCUAAAUGCUAUUUAAUAAUUUAGAAAACGUUUCAAUUGUUUCAAUUGAUUGUUAUGCAACACAGUUGGAAACUUGAUGAUUUAGAAUCAGCUUAUCAAUCUUCCAUACAAUUUCUAAUCCCGCAGCAACGCACGGGUAACAAUUUCUAGUUAAGAUCUAAAACUUAAAGCAAAAUGAAAUUUGAACUAUAAAAAUACAAAUUGAAAAGGGUUAGAUUUUAGCAACUUGUAAAUAUGAGGUAGUGCGAUUUCAAAAUUUUUAGGAGAUCGAAUUGUGGCUGGACUUAAACAACUAACAAAUCACACAUAUUGAACAAUGAGAAAAAAUUCCUAUGUAUUUAAUUUUGUUACA